rnacentral:rRNA from 1 species
UACGGAGGGGGCCAGCGUUGUUCGGAAUCAUUGGGCGUAAAGGGCGCGUAGGCGGCUUUGUAAGUCCGUUGUGAAAUCCCUCGGCUCAACCGAGGAACUGCGACGGAUACUGCUUGGCUUGAGUCCCGGAGAGGGUAGCGGAAUUCCCAGUGUAGCGGUGAAAUGCGUAGAUAUCGAGAGGAACACCAGUGGCGAAGGCGAGUCCCUGGAAAACACCUGACACUGAGGCGCGAAAGCUAGGGGAGCAAACAGG